ACUCCUGCGGGAGGCAGCAGUGGGGAAUUUUGGACAAUGGGCGAAAGCCUGAUCCAGCCAUGCCGCGUGCAGGAUGAAGGCCUUCGGGUUGUAAACUGCUUUUGUACGGAACGAAACGGCCUUUUCUAAUAAAGAGGGCUAAUGACGGUACCGUAAGAAUAAGCACCGGCUAACUACGUGCCAGCAGCCGCGGUAAUACGUAGGGUGCAAGCGUUAAUCGGAAUUACUGGGCGUAAAGCGUGCGCAGGCGGUUAUGUAAGACAGUUGUGAAAUCCCCGGGCUCAACCUGGGAACUGCAUCUGUGACUGCAUAGCUAGAGUACGGUAGAGGGGGAUGGAAUUCCGCGUGUAGCAGUGAAAUGCGUAGAUAUGCGGAGGAACACCGAUGGCGAAGGCAAUCCCCUGGACCUGUACUGACGCUCAUGCACGAAAGCGUGGGGAGCAAACAGGAUUAGAAACCCCUGUAGUCCCAUGA
rnacentral:rRNA from 1 species